UCUUGAAUGUCUUCACUAUAGGAUGGACACUCUGACAGUGAAAAGUAAACCGAAUGCAGACACUAGUGCUUACACAGGUGCGGAGUUCCCUUACAUACUGAUUAUGCAUUUUGUAAUCAUACAAGUGAAAUUCAGUUUCUUCACUUUACUGAGCAACUAUCCGGUCCCACUGCUGGUGGAUCGUUGUUUUGCGACGGAUUCCAUGUUGCUGAAAUACUGAGGAAGAAGAAUGCUGCCGCAUUUGAUAUGCUCUCGCAAUAUCCAAUACAGUUUGUGGAUGCUGGUUCGGAUUAUCUUGGUGAUAGUGAAACAGAAGCGUGGCAUAGCAUAAUUAGUGUGUCUCCCAGUAAGAAAGUUACUGGAAUACACUACAGCAAUUAUAUUCGAGGACCUCACUUCUCUGCUCUUCUAAUGGAUAAACUUUACGAGUGGUAUGCAGCAUAUUAUGAAUUUUCUCAUCUAUUGAAAUCCCCGGAUUAUGUGAUGGAGUUCAAAGUACAAUCCGGACAGAUGACAGUGGCAAAUAACUGUCGUCUACUACAUGGCAGAAAUGCAUUCGAAUUGCAAGGUGAUGAGUCCAGAUCUAUUGAAGUUUGCUUCACAGAUUGGGAUGCAAUUCGUUCGAAGGCCCGAGUUCUCAUGAAGAAGUUCGCUCCGUCAUAACAGUAGGUGUAACCUAGAAUUCCUUGACAGCAAUUAACUGCCUUAAAGUAGCUUUAUCAGUGUGAGAGGACCUAAGCUGCAUGCCUAGCAAAAGUAAGAUGCCAUUUACUCUAUUAGUUAAUUAUUGUAUGCCACUAUAUUAUUAUCGUUAGCUAUGUAUGUUUCUU